rnacentral:rRNA from 1 species
UACGGAGGGUGCAAGCAUUAAUCGGAUUUAUUGGGCGUAAAGGGGGCGUAGGCGGUUGUGUUAGCCAGACGUGAAAUCCCGGGGCUCAACCCCGGAACGGCGUUUGGAACUGCACGACUAGAGGAUAGGCGGAGAAAACGGAAUUCCACAUGUAGCGGUGAAAUGCGUAGAUAUGUGGAAGAACACCGGUGGCGAAGGCGGUUUUCUAGCUUAUUCCUGACGCUGAUGCCCGAAAGCUAGGGGAGCAAACAGG